rnacentral:rRNA from 2 species
GGGUUGUGAGGUUAAGCGACUAAGCGUACACGGUGGAUGCCCUGGCAGUCAGAGGCGAUGAAGGGCGUGCUAAUCUGCGAUAAGCGCCGGUAAGGUGAUAUGAACCGUUAUAACCGGCGAUACCCGAAUGGGGAAACCCAGUGUGAUUCGUCACACUAUCAUUAACUGAAUCCAUAGGUUAAUGAGGCGAACCGGGGGAACUGAAACAUCUAAGUACCCCGAGGAAAAGAAAUCAACCGAGAUUCCCCCAGUAGCGGCGAGCGAACGGGGAGGAGCCCAGAGCCUGAAUCAGCAUGUGUGUUAGUGGAAGCGUCUGGAAAGGCGCGCGAUACAGGGUGACAGCCCCGUACACAAAAGCGCAUGUGCUGUGAGCUCGAUGAGUAGGGCGGGACACGUGGUAUCCUGUCUGAAUAUGGGGGGACCAUCCUCCAAGGCUAAAUACUCCUGACUGACCGAUAGUGAACCAGUACCGUGAGGGAAAGGCGAAAAGAACCCCGG